GGCCCCGUCGUCUAGCGGCCUAGGACGCGGGCCCUUCAAGCCCGCCACACCGGUUCAAAUCCGGUCGGGGUCA
rnacentral:tRNA from 1 species